AUAAUGGGUCAGCGACUUAUAUUCUGUAGCAAGGUUAACCGAAUAGGGGAGCCGAAGGGAAACCGAGUCUUAACUGGGCGUUAAGUUGCAGGGUAUAGACCCGAAACCCGGUGAUCUAGCCAUGGGCAGGUUGAAGGUUGGGUAACACUAACUGGAGGACCGAACCGACUAAUGUUGAAAAAUUAGCGGAUGACUUGUGGCUGGGGGUGAAAGGCCAAUCAAACCGGGAGAUAGCUGGUUCUCCCCGAAAGCUAUUUAGGUAGCGCCUCGUGAAUUCAUCUCCGGGGGUAGAGCACUGUUUCGGCAAGGGGGUCAUCCCGACUUACCAACCCGAUGCAAACUGCGAAUACCGGAGAAUGUUAUCACGGGAGACACACGGCGGGUGCUAACGUCCGUCGUGAAGAGGGAAACAACCCAGACCGCCAGCUAAGGUCCCAAAGUCAUGGUUAAGUGGGAAACGAUGUGGGAAGGCCCAGACAGCCAGGAUGUUGGCUUAGAAGCAGCCAUCAUUUAAAGAAAGCGUAAUAGCUCACUGGUCGAGUCGGCCUGCGCGGAAGAUGUAACGGGGCUAAACCAUGCACCGAAGCUGCGGCAGCGACGCUGAUGCGUUGUUGGGUAGGGGAGCGUUCUGUAAGCCUGUGAAGGUGUGCUGUGAGGCAUGCUGGAGGUAUCAGAAGUGCGAAUGCUGACAUAAGUAACGAUAAAGCGGGUGAAAAGCCCGCUCGCCGGAAGACCAAGGGUUCCUGUCCAACGUUAAUCGGGGCAGGGUGAGUCGACCCCUAAGGCGAGGCCGAAAGGCGUAGUCGAUGGGAAACAGGUUAAUAUUCCUGUACUUGGUGUUACUGCGAAGGGGGGACGGAGAAGGCUAUGUUGGCCGGGCGACGGUUGUCCCGGUUUAAGCGUGUAGGCUGGUUUUCCAGGCAAAUCCGGAAAACUAAGGCUGAGGCGUGAUGACGAGGCACUACGGUGCUGAAGCAACAAAUGCCCUGCUUCCAGGAAAAGCCUCUAAGCAUCAGGUAACAUCAAAUCGUACCCCAAACCGACACAGGUGGUCAGGUAGAGAAUACCAAGGCGCUUGAGAGAACUCGGGUGAAGGAACUAGGCAAAAUGGUGCCGUAACUUCGGGAGAAGGCACGCUGAUAUGUAGGUGAAGUCCCUCGCGGAUGGAGCUGAAAUCAGUCGAAGAUACCAGCUGGCUGCAACUGUUUAUUAAAAACACAGCACUGUGCAAACACGAAAGUGGACGUAUACGGUGUGACGCCUGCCCGGUGCCGGAAGGUUAAUUGAUGGGGUCAGCGCAAGCGAAGCUCUUGAUCGAAGCCCCGGUAAACGGCGGCCGUAACUAUAACGGUCCUAAGGUAGCGAAAUUCCUUGUCGGGUAAGUUCCGACCUGCACGAAUGGCGUAAUGAUGGCCAGGCUGUCUCCACCCGAGACUCAGUGAAAUUGAACUCGCUGUGAAGAUGCAGUGUACCCGCGGCAAGACGGAAAGACCCCGUGAACCUUUACUAUAGCUUGACACUGAACAUUGAGCCUUGAUGUGUAGGAUAGGUGGGAGGCUUUGAAGUGUGGACGCCAGUCUGCAUGGAGCCGACCUUGAAAUACCACCCUUUAAUGUUUGAUGUUCUAACGUUGACCCGUAAUCCGGGUUGCGGACAGUGUCUGGUGGGUAGUUUGACUGGGGCGGUCUCCUCCUAAAGAGUAACGGAGGAGCACGAAGGUUGGCUAAUCCUGGUCGGACAUCAGGAGGUUAGUGCAAUGGCAUAAGCCAGCUUGACUGCGAGCGUGACGGCGCGAGCAGGUGCGAAAGCAGGUCAUAGUGAUCCGGUGGUUCUGAAUGGAAGGGCCAUCGCUCAACGGAUAAAAGGUACUCCGGGGAUAACAGGCUGAUACCGCCCAAGAGUUCAUAUCGACGGCGGUGUUUGGCACCUCGAUGUCGGCUCAUCACAUCCUGGGGCUGAAGUAGGUCCCAAGGGUAUGGCUGUUCGCCAUUUAAAGUGGUACGCGAGCUGGGUUUAGAACGUCGUGAGACAGUUCGGUCCCUAUCUGCCGUGGGCGCUGGAGAACUGAGGGGGGCUGCUCCUAGUACGAGAGGACCGGAGUGGACGCAUCACUGGUGUUCGGGUUGUCAUGCCAAUGGCACUGCCCGGUAGCUAAAUGCGGAAGAGAUAAGUGCUGAAAGCAUCUAAGCACGAAACUUGCCCCGAGAUGAGUUCUCCCUGACUCCUUGAGAGUCCUGAAGGAACGUUGAAGACGACGACGUUGAUAGGCCGGGUGUGUAAGCGCAGCGAUGCGUUGAGCUAACCGGUACUAAUGAACCGUGAGGCUUAACCUUACAACGCCGAAGCUGUU
rnacentral:rRNA from 1 species